rnacentral:rRNA from 1 species
AGUGAACGCUGGCGGUAGGCCUAACACAUGCAAGUCGAACGGCAGCACAGGAGAGCUUGCUCUCUGGGUGGCGAGUGGCGGACGGGUGAGGAAUACAUCGGAAUCUACUUUUUCGUGGGGGAUAACGUAGGGAAACUUACGCUAAUACCGCAUACGACCUACGGGUGAAAGCAGGGGAUCCUCGGACCUUGCGCGAUUGAAUGAGCCGAUGUCGGAUUAGCUAGUUGGCGGGGGAAAGGCCCACCAAGGCGCCGAUCCGUAGCUGGUCUGAGAGGAUGAUCAGCCACGCUGGAACUGAGACACGGUCCAGACUCCUACGGGAGGCAGCAGUGGGGAAUAUUGGACAAUGGGCGCAAGCCUGAUCCAGCCAUACCGCGUGGGUGAAGAAGGCCUUCGGGUUGUAAAGCCCUUUUGUUGGGAAAGAAAUCCAGCUGGUUAAUACCCGGUUGGGGUGACGGUACCCAAAGAAUAAGCACCGGCUAACUUCGUGCCAGCCGCCGCGGUAA